UUCCAAAGCUGCAGAAAUGAGUUUUUUUUUAAACUGAAAAAAAAAAACUCAAUUCUGCAGCUUUAGGAGU